rnacentral:rRNA from 1 species
CCUACGGGAGGCAGCAGUAAGGAAUAUUGGUCAAUGGAGGCAACUCUGAACCAGCCAUGCCGCGUGCAGGAAGACUGCCCUAUGGGUUGUAAACUGCUUUUAUCCGGGAAUAAACCUACUUACGUGUAAGUAGCUGAAUGUACCGGAAGAAUAAGGAUCGGCUAACUCCGUGCCAGCAGCCGCGGUAAUACGGAGGAUCCAAGCGUUAUCCGGAUUUAUUGGGUUUAAAGGGUGCGUAGGCGGCCUGUUAAGUCAGGGGUGAAAGACGGUAGCUCAACUAUCGCAGUGCCCUUGAUACUGAUGGGCUUGAAUGGACUAGAGGUAGGCGGAAUGAGACAAGUAGCGGUGAAAUGCAUAGAUAUGUCUCAGAACACCGAUUGCGAAGGCAGCUUACUAUGGUCUUAUUGACGCUGAGGCACGAAAGCGUGGGGAUCAAACAGGAUUAGAUACCCUGGUAGUCCACGCCCUAAACGAUGAACACUCGCUGUUGGCGAUACACAGUCAGCGGCUAAGCGAAAGCGUUAAGUGUUCCACCUGGGGAGUACGCCCGCAGGUGAACUCAAGGAAUUGAGG